GCGCCCGUAGCCCAAUGGCAGAGGCAGUCGGUUUAGGUCCGGCCCAGUGUGAGUUCGAAUCUCAUCGGGCGCA
rnacentral:tRNA from 1 species